rnacentral:rRNA from 1 species
GAGUUUGAUCCUGGUUCAGGACGAACGCUGGCGGCGUGCUUAACACAUGCAAGUCGAACGGGAGUAUAGAGGGAGCUUGCUUUUGAUAUACUUUAGUGGCGGACGGGUGAGUAACGCGUGAGGAGCUGUCCAGUACAGGGGGACAACAGAUGGAAACGUCUGCUAAUACCCCAUAAGCCUAAGGGUAAAAGGAGCGAUCCGGAACACGAGGCACUCGCGUCCUAUCAGCUAGUAGGUGAGGUAACGGCUCACCCAGGCGAAGACGGGUAGCCGGCCUGAGAGGGCGAACGGCCACACUGGAACUGAGAGACGGUCCAGACUCCUACGGGAGGCAGCAGUGGGGAAUAUUGGGCAAUGGGGGCAACCCUGACCCAGCGACGUCGCGUGGGUGACGGAAUCCUUCGGGAUGUAAAGCCCUGUUGUAUGGGAAGAUGAAAGAGACGGUACCAUACGAGGAAGCCCCGGCAAACUACGUGCCAGCAGCCGCGGUAAUACGUAGGGGGCAAGCGUUGUCCGGAAUUACUGGGCGUAAAGCGCACGCAGGCGGAAUAUCAAGUCGGUUGUAAAAGGCAGUGGCUCAACCACUGUA